UACAUCCAUCUGAAACCUUUCCUGCCCGAGUUACUGAACUCAAACCCAGCACAGUUUUUACUCAUCUUAGAUGGUCUGGAUGAGUUCUGCUACCCUCUUAAUUUCGAACACACUCCCAAGUGUUCAGAUCCUGAGCGGGUGCAGCCUAUACAAUCCAUUGUGGUGAACUUAAUCAAGGGAAAUCUGCUUCCAGGAGUGUCCAUUUUCCUUACUUCACGACCUCAUGCGGUCACCAAGGUUCCUCCAGUUCUGGUCAGCCAGUUUUACAGUCUGCUCGGUUUCUCUGUAGCUCAACAGAAGCAGUACUUUGAGCAGAACUGCAGUUCUCCUGAGGCUGCCGAGGCAGUGUUGGCUUCGGUGUCGUCCCAUAAACCCCUUCUACUCAUGUGCCACAUUCCUGCAUUCUGUUGGAUCGUGUCCACCGCCUUGCAUGAUGGCGGCUCCUGCCUUUUUCCUGAUACUGCAGGUGCCAAUUCAGGAGAAAAAGGAGGCCUUGAGGAAGCCAACCAACCAAACUCUUUAUUAGGACCUUCUGAGGAGAACUCCAAACCAGUCACGAUCUCUGAAAUCUACUGCUGCUUUGUUAAAUCCAUCUUGCUAUUCCACGUGCAAGGCCGUAGCGAGGGCUCCCAUCUCACCAGGCUUCAGCAUGCCCCUCAUGUCCUUGGCGAAAUGCAGCCUAUACUCAAGAGCCUUGGAGCUAUGGCCUUCAAAGGCCUCCUGGAGAGACGGUUCAUCUUUGAAAGCUCUGAUUUGAACUCUUUUAAUCUGGAUAGCGCCAAUCUCUCACAGGUGUUCCUCUCGGAGAUACUUAAAGAGGAUCGAGCAUCCCUCACCUUUGAAAAAGGCUUUCAUUUUAUCCACACCAGCAUGCAGGAGUUUCUAGCUGCCCUGUACUAUGUUCUCCAGUCGCUCUCAGGAUCAGAUCCAUUUUCAGGCCUCAAACCAAGCACAGGCUGCUCUAUCCAAAAUGCAUUAAAGCAAAUGGCAUCAGCCGUUAACAAAUUCAACACACCGCAGCGUCUCUUCCGCAGACGCAUUAAGAAAGCCCUUCGCUGUGGUGAACGACAUCAGUCCGGAUACAUGGAUCUUUUCGCCAGGUUUGUAUGCGGCCUGCUGGUUCCCAGAACACGUCUCAUCUUAAAUGGAUUUUUCCCUGAUGGGCC
ensembl:lncRNA